rnacentral:misc_RNA from 1 species
GAAAUGCGAUAAGUAAUGUGAAUUGCAGAAUUCAGUGAAUCAUCGAAUCUUUGAACGCACCUUGCGCUCCUUGGUAUUCCUUGGAGCAUGCCUGUUUGAGUAUUAUGAAAUCUUCAAAGUAAAUCUUUUGUUAACGCAAUUGGUUUCUACUUUGGUAUUGGAGGUCUUUGCAGCUUCACACCUGCUCCUCUUUGUUCAUUAGCUGGAUCUCAGUGUUAUGCUUGGUUCCACUCGGCGUGAUAAGUUAUCUAUCGCUGAGGACACUGUAAAAGGUGGCCAAGGUAAAUGCAGAUGAACCGCUUCUAAUAGUCCAUUGACUUGGACAAUACUUUUAUGAUCUGAUCUCAAAUCAGGUAGGACUACCCGCUGAACUUAAGC